UCAUGAACGAGCAGGGAAAGCUCCCAUGGAGCCAAAACCCUAAACUUCAUCAAAAUCUCCAAAUUGAAAGGCUAAAUGAAGCCCAAAUUCACAACCGAGCAUGAAUUAACGAUCACCUUCACAAGGGGAUCAUAAGGAAUCAUGUCAAGAUGGAUGGGAGCGUUGAAGGCUAACGGGCUACGAAGACUCAAUCAAAUAAGCGAACGCAAAUACGGGCGCGCAAGGUAUACUUGUGAUGGAAGUUGAAGGUAGACACCGAAAUCCAAUGCGGGUGGUUUAAAUGAUGGAUGAAGGGUCUAACAUAAGC